AACAUGGCCUUUUGAAUUUUGAUUUAAGGUCCGGCCUGCCCAAUGAAUAAUUUUAAUGGCUGCAGUAUUUUGACUGUACAAAGGUAGCAUAAUCAUUAGUUUUUUAAUUAAAAGCUCGUAUGAAUGGCUUAAUGAGAAAGAUUCUGUCUUUAUUUGAAUUUUUAUAGAAAUUUAUUUUUAAGUUAAAAAGCUUAAAUUUGUUUAAAAGACGAGAAGACCCUAUAGAGUUUUAUAAAUUUAUUAAUAAUUAAUGUUUAAGUAUAGAUUUUUAUUUAAUUAGUAAUUUUAUUUGGUUGGGGUGAUCUAAAAAUUUAAUAAACUUUUUAUUUUUUAUACAUAAAUAUAUGAUUAACUGAUCCAUUAAGAUGUGAUUAAAAGAUUAAAUUACCUUAGGGAUAACAGCGUAAUUUUUUUGGAGAGUUCUUAUCAAUAAAAAAGGUUGCGACCUCGAUGUUGGAUUAAAAUUUACUAUUGGCGCAGAAGUUGAUGGGUUAGGUCUGUUCGACCUUUAAAAUUUUACAUGAUCUGAGUUUAAACCGGUGUGAGCCAGG
rnacentral:rRNA from 1 species